UGAGAAACAAAAGGGCAUUUGGUGGAUGCCUUGGUACCAGGAGGCGAUGAAAGACGUGGCACGCUGCGAUAAGCCAUGGGGAGCUGCGAGCAAGCUUUGAUCCGUGGAUUUCUGAAUGGGGAAACCCCCUCGUAAUGAGGAUCAUGUACUGAAUACAUAGGUACAUGAGGCGAACCCGGGGAACUGAAACAUCUAAGUACCCGGAGGAAAAGACAUCAACCGAGAUUCCGCUAGUAGUGGCGAGCGAACGCGGAAAAGGCCAGUGCCUAGAUAAUGAUAAGCAGAAUGAUCUGGAAAGUUCAGCCAUAGAAGGUGAUAGCCCUGUAUGUGCAUAAUCAUUGUUUAGGCCUUGAGUAGGGCGAGGCACGAGAAACCUUGUCUGAAUAUGGGGGGACCACCCUCCAAGCCUAAAUACUACCUGGUGACCGAUAGUGAACAAGUACCGUGAGGGAAAGGUGAAAAGAACCCCGGGAGGGGAGUGAAAUAGAAUCUGAAAUCAAGUGCUUACAAACAGUUGGAGCUCUAUAUCAAUUUAUUGAUAUUUAGAGUGACAGCGUACCUUUUGCAUAAUGGGUCAGCGAGUUAAUCUAUGAAGCAAGCUUAAGCCGUUAGGUGUAGGCGUAGCGAAAGCAAGUCUGAAUAGGGCGUUUUAGUUUUAUGGAUUAGACCCGAAACCAAGUGAUCUAGUCAUGACCAGAUUGAAGGUGUGGUAAAACACACUGGAGGAUCGAACCAGUUAAUGUUGCAACAUUAUUGGAUGAGUUGUGAUUAGGGGUGAAAGGCCAAUCAAACUUGGAAAUAGCUGGUUCUCCGCGAAAUCUAUUGAGGUAGAGCGUUAUGUAUUACCAUUGGAGGUAGAGCACUGAAUGAGCUAGGGGGACUCACCGUCUUACCAACCUCAAUCAAACUUCGAAUGCCGAUGAGUAGAGCAUAGCAGACACACAGUGGGUGCUAAGGUCCAUUGUGGAGAGGGAAACAGCCCUGACCGCCGUCUAAGGUCCCCAAAUGACAACUAAGUGUGAAAGGAAGUGGAAACUCCAGGACAGCCAGGAGGUUGGCUUAGAAGCAGCCAUCCUUUAAAGAAAGCGUAACAGCUCACUUGUCUAAAUAAGUUUUUCUGCGCCGAAGAUGUACCGGGGCUAAAGCUGUAUACCGAAGAUGUGAGUGCUUAUUAAUUUCGAUCAAUAGGCGCGGUAGCGGAGCGUUCCGUAAGUCUGUGAAGGUGGUUUGUGAAAACUGCUGGAGAUAUCGGAAGUGAGAAUGCUGACAUAAGUAGCGUAAAAGAGUGUGAAAAACACUCUCACCAAAAAUCUAAGGGUUCCUACGUUAAGUUAAUCUGCGUAGGGUUAGUCGGUUCCUAAGGCGAGUCCGUAAAGGAGUAGUCGAUGGCAAUUAGGUUAAUAUUCCUAAACCUCUUAAGUGUGACGGGUUUCGUAUUUGUAUAGAUCUUAUUGGAUUGAUCUAUGCUUAAAAGAAGCUCCAGGAAAUAGCACUUAUAUUUAUGAGGCCGUACCGCAAACCGACACUGGUGGAUGAGUAGAGUAUACUAAGGUGUUGAAAGAAUGAUGUUGAAGGAACUCGGCAAAUUAUACCUGUAACUUCGGAAGAAGGGUAACCUGCUUUUAGGCAACUAUGAGUAGGUGGCACAAAAUAGGGAGUAGCGACUGUUUACUAAAAACACAGGACUCUGCAAACACGUAAGUGGAAGUAUAGGGUCUGACGCCUGCCCGGUGCUGGAAGGUUAAUAGGAGGGGUGCAAGCUCUAAAUUGAAGCCCCAGUAAACGGCGGCCGUAACACUGACGGUCCUAAGGUAGCGAAAUUCCUUGUCGGGUAAGUUCCGACCCGCACGAAAGGCGUAACGAUUUGAGUACUGUCUCAACGAUAGACUCGGUGAAAUUAAGAUACCUGUGAAGAAGCAGGUUACCCGCGACAGGACGGAAAGACCCCAUGGAGCUUUACUGUAGCUUGAUAUUGGGUGUUUACAUAACUUGUACAGGAUAGGUAGGAGCCAUAGAAGCCGGGACGCUAGUCUCGGUGGAGGCGUCAGUGGGAUACUACCCUUGUUAUGUGAACACUCUAACCCUGCGCACUAAUCGUGCGCGGAGACAGUGUCUGGUUGGCAGUUUGACUGGGGCGGUCGCCUCCUAAACAGUAACGGAGGCGCUCAAAGGUUUGCUUAGAAUGGUUGGAAAUCAUUCCUAAAGUGUAAAGGCAAAAGCAAGCUUGACUGCGAGACAAACAGGUCGAGCAGGGACGAAAGUCGGACUUAGUGAUCCGGUGGUACCAUAUGGAAGGGCCAUCGCUCAACGGAUAAAAGCUACCCUGGGGAUAACAGGCUUAUCUCCCCCAAGAGUUCACAUCGACGGGGAGGUUUGGCACCUCGAUGUCGGCUCAUCACAUCC
rnacentral:rRNA from 1 species